CUUUUUUAAAACACCACCUCACAUAUUCCUAUCGUAACACUGCGGCCUUCCAAACAAACCAACAAUCGUAUUGAUCCUUGCGAAAACAGGCAAGGAAGGAAUAUUGAAGCAAAUGCAUAUGUAUCUUAAAUAAAUUGGUGUCUUGUUGAUGGAAAUGAGAGUAAUCUUGGAUUCAUCAUAGAAAGAACAGCAAGUAGUUUCACAAAUGCAAGCUUGGGUGGAUUCGAUAUCAUCUUUUAACACCCCAUCACUUGCACAGGAAUUUCAUCGACUUCGUUCUAGCCUUAACAAGCUAAAAGAGAGCAAGAUCAGAUUAGAAGGCAGUGGGUCCCAUCAGCAGCCUCUUCUUAAAGAACGCACCAAUCUCAUGAGAAAUACAGGACAGGUGGGUGAGUUCAUGCUCUGUUCCAGAAAAAAAAAAACAGACAAUGAAUCGUGCGUGGAUCAUCAGCAACCAGGAAAAAUCAACAAAAGGUUACCAAUCUAUUGAUGGAAUCAUCAAGCUUAUGAAGAUUCCUCAUCCAAAUUCGUGCACAAGGAAUUGUGUUUUUGGGAGAGCUUGAAACACUUGGCUGAAGGCGUACGGGAUGACUGGAUCGUUUUCAAGGUGCAAAAUUAAAGAAGAUGAAGGAAGUUAAUUAGUUGCUAAUGGAUGUGACCCUGAAAUUAAGGCAUGAGAAUGAUGAGAGGGAUGUUGGUGUAAUAUGUAUUAUGUUCUGUUUUUGGAAAACAAUGGGGGCUUGUUUUUUUGGACAGAGAAAUCUUGUAAAGAGAUUUGACCCACUUUUUGAUUAGAUUAGACAUGCAUUGAAUCAUGUGGAAUCAUAUGUUAUGUUUAGUAACUA